AUUGAACGCUGGCGGCAGGCCUAACACAUGCAAGUCGAGCGGAGGAAGGGAGCUUGCUCCUGGAUUCAGCGGCGGACGGGUGAGUAAUGCCUAGGAAUCUGCCUGGUAGUGGGGGAUAACGUCCGGAAACGGGCGCUAAUACCGCAUACGUCCUGAGGGAGAAAGUGGGGGAUCUUCGGACCUCACGCUAUCAGAUGAGCCUAGGUCGGAUUAGCUAGUUGGUGGGGUAAAGGCCUACCAAGGCGACGAUCCGUAACUGGUCUGAGAGGAUGAUCAGUCACACUGGAACUGAGACACGGUCCAGACUCCUACGGGAGGCAGCAGUGGGGAAUAUUGGACAAUGGGCGAAAGCCUGAUCCAGCCAUGCCGCGUGUGUGAAGAAGGUCUUCGGAUUGGAAAGCACUUUAAGUUGGGAGGAAGGGCAGUAAGUUAAUACCUUGCUGUUUUGACGUUACCAACAGAAUAAGCACCGGCUAACUUCGUG
rnacentral:rRNA from 1 species